GAUGAACGCUGGCGGCGUGCCUAAUACAUGCAAGUCGAGCGAACAGACGAGGAGGUUGCUCCUCUGACGUUAGCGGCGGACGGGUGAGUAACAUGUGGAUAACCUACCUAUAAGACUGGGAUAACUUCGGGAAACCGGCGCUAAUAGCGGAUAAUAUCUUGAACCGCAUGGUUCAAGAGUGAAAGACGGUUUUGCUGUCUCUUAUAGAUGGAUCCGCGCCGCAUUAGCUAGUUGGUAAGGUAACGGCUUACCAAGGCAACGAGGCGUAGGCCCCAUGAAAGGGUGGUCGGCCAGCCUGGAACAGAGGCAGGGUCGCGACACCGAGGCGAGGAAGCAGUAGGAAAUCUUCCGCAAUGGGCGAAAGCCUGACGGAGCAACGCCGCGUGAGUGAUGAAGGACUUAGGAUCGGAGAGCUCUGUUAGUAGGAAAGAACAAAUGUGUAAUUACCUAUGCACGUAUUGACGGUACCUAGUGAAGAAGCCACGGCUAACUACGUG
rnacentral:rRNA from 1 species